AUGAGGGGGAAGGUGGUUGGGGGUGGGACUCAUUUGCAUAUAUUAGCAUACGAGGGUGGGAUUGGGGUGUUAAUUAGUAUAUGCUAAUGAGGAUGGGAUCGGCCAUAGGGAAGAAGUCGUUAAUUAGCGGCCUUCACGAGCUGCGGAUCGUUACUAUUGAGGCUUCGUGUUGGUUGAAGGCUGGGCUCAUUUGCAUACAUUAGCAUAUGAGGAUCGAGAGUGCAUACGAGGAUCGAGAAUGCUCGCUAAUUAGCAUUGCUAAUGAGGACGGGAUCAGCACUAACGAAGACUUCGUUAAUUAGCGACCUUAACGAGUUGUCCAUUGUUACCAUUGAGGCUCUUCAGUGAUUGAAUGCUGGGCUCAUUUGCAUAAAUUAGCAUACGAGGAUCAAGAAGGGUCGCUAAUUAAGGCCACUAAUGAGGUUCGGAUUGACGAUGAUGGAGACUUCGUUAAUUAGCAGCCUUGUUAAUUAGCGGCCUUGACGAGCUGUGGAUUGCUAUCAUGGAGGCCUCGCAUUGGUUGAAAGCUGAGCUCAUUUGCAUGAAUUAGCAUACGGGGAUCAAGAAAGGAUGUUAAUUAGAGCUGCUAAUGAAGAUUGGAUCAGCGCUAACGAAGAGUUUGUUAAUUAGGAACCUUAAUGAGCAAUCCAUCGUUACCUUCGAGGCUUUUCAGUGGUUGAAAGCUGGGCUCAUUUGCAUAAAUUAGCAUACGAGGAUCAAGAAAGGACGUUAAUUGGCGCUGCUAAUGAGGAUCCAAUCAGCGCUAACGAAGACUUCGUUAAUUAGCGACCUUAAUGAGCUGUGGAUCGUUACCAUGGAGGUCUCGGAUUGGUUGAAAGCUGAGCUCAUUUGCAUAAAUUAGCAUACGAGGAUCAAGAAGGGGCAUUAAUUAAGGCUGCUAAUGAAGAUUGGAUCAGCGCUAACGAAGAGUUUGUUAAUUAGGAACCUUAAUGAGCAAUCCAUCGUUACCUUGGAGGCUUUUCAGUGGUUGAAAGCUGGGCUCAUUUGCAUAAAUUAGCAUACGAGGAUCAAGAAAGGACGUUAAUUGGCGCUGCUAAUGAGGAUCCAAUCAGUGCUAACGAAGACUUCGUUAAUUAGCGACCUUAACGAGCUGCGGAUCGUUACCAUGGAGGCCACGGAUUGGUUGAAAGCUGGGCUCAUUUGCAUAAAUUAGCAUACGAGGAUCAAGAAGCGUCGUUAAUUAGAGCUGCUAAUGAGGAUCCGAUCAGCGCUAAUGAAGAUCUUGUUAAUUAGCGGAUGAAGGCUUCGUUAAUGAGCGGCUUUGACGAGCUGCGGGUCGUUACCAUGGAGGCUUCUCAUUGGUCGAAAGCUGGGCUCAUUUGCAUACAUUUGCAUAGGAGGAUCACGAAAGCUCGUUCCUGAGCACUAAUUAACGGGGCUUAAUGAGGCUGCUUAAUGAGCUCGGCGCAGCGGUAACGAAGGCCGCCUUAAUUAGCGAGCGCGGCUCCCGGCGUCGGCUUCCCAUUGGUCGAGAGCCCCCCUCAUUAGCAUAUAUGAAUGGUUAAUGAGGGGGCGGUGUUGAAUGGGUUUCAAUGGGGGCCAAUGGGGUUUAAUGGGGGUUAAUGGGGGUUUAAUGGGGGUUAAUGGGGUCUUAUAGGGUUUAAUGGGGGUUAAUGGGGUCUUAUAGGGUUUUAAUAGGGGUUUAUGGGAUUUUAAUGGGGGUUAAUGGGGUUUUAAUGGGGGUUAAUGGGGUCUUAUAG
ensembl:lncRNA